GGGCUGGGGCUCAGCGGUAAAGUGCUCGCCUGGCACAUGUGAGGUGCUGGGUUCAAUCCUCAGCACCACA
rnacentral:tRNA from 1 species